rnacentral:tRNA from 1 species
GUUCCUGUAGUUGAACCACAACAAGAGCUUUUCACGCUCUAGGGUUUGAGUGAGACUCUCAACAGGG